AGGACUGAACAUGUUGCAGAGCGGCCUGCAUAAGCAGCACAUGAAGGACCUCUUUGUAGAGCUGUGUCUCACGGUACCAGUGCGGCUGAGCUCUCUCCUGCCCUAUCUGCCCAUGUUGAUGGAUCCCUUGGUGUCUGCCCUCAAUGGGUCUCAGACAUUGGUCAGCCAAGGCCUGAGGACCUUGGAGUUGUGUGUGGACAACCUGCAACCAGAUUUCCUCUAUGACCACAUUCAGCCUGUGCGUGCAGAGCUCAUGCAGUAAAGACAGAACUUCGCUGGGGGAGGACAACCCAGGGGGAACCAUGUUUGAGGAGCAGAAGCAGGAGGAAGAGUCCUCUCUAACAAAUGGGAAUCGUGGUCAUGAGCUGUGUGAAGCGGCCG
rnacentral:lncRNA from 1 species